UGGGGAAUUGUUCGCAAUGGGCGCAAGCCUGACGACGCAACGCCGCGUGGAGGAUGAAGGUCUUCGGAUCGUAAACUCCUGUUGCCCGGGACGAAUAGCUUCGACCUAACACGUCGGAGUAUGACGGUACCGGGUGAGGAAGCCCCGGCUAACUCUGUGCCAGCAGCCGCGGUAAUACAGAGGGGGCAAGCGUUGUUCGGAAUUACUGGGCGUAAAGGGCGCGUAGGCGGCCAACUAAGUCAGACGUGAAAUCCCUCGGCUUAACCGGGGAACUGCGUCUGAUACUGGAUGGCUUGAGGUUGGGAGAGGGAUGCGGAAUUCCAGGUGUAGCGGUGAAAUGCGUAGAUAUCUGGAGGAACACCGGUGGCGAAGGCGACAUCCUGGACCAAUUCUGACGCUGAGGAGCGAAAGCCAGGGGAGCAAACGGGAUUAGAUACCCCCGUAGUCCCUGAGCGGGCUGGCAAGGCGCAU
rnacentral:rRNA from 1 species